rnacentral:tRNA from 1 species
UAAAAAAUAGACUAAGUAAAUAAGUCGUUGGAUUCAUAAUUCAAAAAUAUAUAAUUAUAUUUUUUUAA